rnacentral:rRNA from 1 species
AUACGGAGGGUGCAAGCGUUGUUCGGAAUCACUGGGCGUAAAGGGCGCGCAGGCGGUUUGGUAAGUCAGAUGUGAAAGCCCACGGCUCAACCGUGGAAGUGCAUUUGAAACUGUCAGACUUGAGUACCAGAGGGGAAAGUGGAAUUCCCGGUGUAGAGGUGAAAUUCGUAGAUAUCGGGAGGAAUACCGGUGGCGAAGGCGACUUUCUGGCUGGAUACUGACGCUGAGGCGCGAAAGCGUGGGGAGCAAACAGGAUUAGAAACCCGAGUAGUCC